GGGGAUGUAGCUCAGUGGUAGAACACUUGCCUCGCAUGUAAGAGGCCCUGGGUUCCAUCCCCAAUACCACCA
rnacentral:tRNA from 1 species